rnacentral:RNase_P_RNA from 1 species
AGCAGAAAGUGCAUAUUGAAAUAUUGCAUGCGAGAAAUUCGGAGUAAUCUCUACCGCAGCCCGCGCUGUUUUUACCUCUUCGGGGGUGGAAUGGUGAGGGAUCUUUGCAACCGCAGUCGUUCGCUUGGAUGCGAAAGGACGGGUCUGCCCGUGAGGGUUCGGCGUCACUUGACGCCAGCAAUUUGGCAUCAGAAAUAUCAGGGCCCCGCUGGCUUCGUCCCGGGUUACCCUCUGGGAAGCCGUUGCGGAGAUUGUGUGUCGACACUUUAGUGCGAUGCGUGGCGUGGCGGGAGCCAUGAUUCGAUUCCGAUUACUCUGCU